GGAUGACUCAAUGUGUAAAGCGCUUUGGGGUCCUUAGGGACUAGUAAAGCGCUAUACAAAUACAGGCCAUUUACUGUUUAUUAUAUUGAGUUACUGUAUGACUUCAGAGGCACAACUUAGAAAAUAAGAAUGUUAAUUUAAGAGAAAUCCAAGAAUUUACUUACGAAUCAAAAAUGUGAACAAAUCUACUUUAGGCGAUAACACUUAACACUUCGUGUCAGACACGCUGGGAGGGAGUGAACGCUGGUGCGUUUUAGCUGCCGCUGCUCUCUUUCUAUACUUAUUGCUUAGUAUAGUUGCACAAGUUUGUUUUACUCUAUGAACCUGUAUUGUCUGCCAGGUAAAGUGUUUCUCUGCGUUACCUGUUCGGCCAUAUUUACUGUCAGCUAUUAGCUUCAGCUGUUAGCCGCUGGGCUGUUUUUGGACAGCUGGCUUUCAGACAUUAUAACAUCAUGACUGUUAAGGUCCUCCAGAUCUCCAGACUUCAGACUCUUGCUCUACUUUUAAAUCAUGUCUUAAAACCCAUCUAUUCAGAAUUGCAUAUUCUUCAUCAUGACUGUCUUAGUCUAUUUUUACCUUUUUUAGCCUUUAUGCUUUUUUUUUUAAUUUUUUGUUUACCUUAUGUUUUUAUUUUGUUGCACUGAUGUAAGGUGACCUUGAGGACCUUUAAAGAUGCCGAUAAAUAAAGUGUAAGCAAUGAGCUCAAUUCUGUCAGAUCCACAGAACAUCUACCAUCACUUCAAUAUGACAAGCAAUCAUGGGGAAGCAAAAGCUUCAUUACCAAGUGCUGCCUGUGAUGUGUUUUUAAACUUGUCUUUGAUCUCCCCUGAGUAUCUCUUUUUAUCCUACUUCAGACAAUCUCACUUUUAGUACUGCCGGACAGUAGCACAGUUCUAUUCUCAGUCUUUUUUCUAGAUCCUUCUCCACAGCUCACACAUUCUCCAUUUCUUGUCUACAUCCUUGUUCUUUUCUUGCAGUUUAUCCACAGACUGCAUUGCAGUCAAGGAACCUAGUAGAAGAAAACAGAAGACCUGAAAUUAUUCAUCGUAUCAGCUUUGCUCAUUAAAAGCAGAAGUCCCUACAUGGGCCACUACUACUAUCUCUAAACAUUUCUGCCCUAUCAGUAAUCUCUACAUCAGUUUUCAGGCUGAAUUUAAUCAAAUUUAGUUAAAUCUUUAUGGUUCGUGUUUGUCU
ensembl:lncRNA